UAAUCUGAUUAUAUUGGUCGUCAUCUCAUGGCUCGGACAUUUCAUUCGCGAUAAAUGGAGUUAACCGUGAGUUAUGCCGCGUUCAUAACAACUGGCACUGGGGAAAAAAGGAACUCGGAAUUCCAAGUCGAAACUCAGGCAUCCUUCUCGAGCUGACUUCCCGACCUGAAGAUCACUGACGUCAUGAUUUAAACUCGUUAGCAUUCCCCGGAGCAGGUCAGAUAUGUUAUGUACCUGGCUAAAAGUUGCUCGGUACCAGUAAGUAGGAGCAGCUGAAGAGAGGGAUGCAGAAAUAAAAAUAAGAUGGUUGAGAAGAGGUGGACAUUGGAGGAUAAAAUGAGCCUUCUUCAGCAAGAAGAAAGCAGCUACUGAACUGCUCUGUGGCCACUCCUUCAACACCACUGCCAACCACAAAAUGGACAAACACUGCAAACGGCUACUGCUGGACCCUUGGUUUGAGGCGAACUCUGUCAUAUCCAGGAUGAAGUGUCAUGCACUCCACCCCUCCUGCCACCCGACUGCACCUGUACGUACAUGAAGACAGAACCUCACCCAGAGACCUGGGAAUGUCGGUAUGUGGUUAGACAGCCAAAUCCUUAGAAUAUACCAUAGACAUAGAAUUGAAUGCCAUGCUAUUUCUGGGACAGCUGAAGUUGUACCGAAGAUUUGUAUGCUCCUUGUUCUAUCUUUUCGUUUCCUCUACACAGAACUUAUUAGUAUUUUUGCUAGGUAAAAUGUAGGCAUACUGUCUUUAUAAGCAGAUCAA